rnacentral:rRNA from 1 species
GAUGAACGCUAGCGGCAGGCUUAACACAUGCAAGUCGAGGGGCAGCGCGGGGUAGCAAUACUCUGGCGGCGACCGGCGAAAGGGUGAGUAACGCGUGAGCAACGUGCCCGUAUGUGGGGGAUAGUCGAUGGAAACGUCGCGUAAUACCCCGUAACACAAGGGACCGCAUGAUCUCUUGUUGAAAGAUUUAUUGCAUACGGAUCGGCUCGCGUGCCAUUAGGUAGACGGCGGGGUAACGGCCCACCGUGCCGACGAUGGCUAGGGGUUCUGAGAGGAAGGUCCCCCACAUUGGAACUGAGACACGGUCCAGACUCCUACGGGAGGCAGCAGUGAGGAAUAUUGGACAAUGGCCGGAAGGCUGAUCCAGCCAUGCCGCGUGCGGGAGGACGGCCCUAUGGGUUGUAAACCGCUUUUGCGAGGGAGCAAUAAGAGUCACGUGUGGCUCGAUGAGAGUACCUCGCGAAUAAGCAUCGGCUAACUCCGUGCCAGCAGCCGCGGUAAUACGGAGGAUGCAAGCGUUAUCCGGAUUUAUUGGGUUUAAAGGGUGCGUAGGCGGUUUGCUAAGCGGGAGGUGAAAUGCCGGCGCUCAACGUCGGAAGUGCCUCCCGAACUGGUGGACUGGAAUGACUCUGCCGUGGGAGGAAUGUGUAGUGUAGCGGUGAAAUGCUUAGAGAUUACACAGAACACCGAUUGCGAAGGCAUCUCACGAAGGGUUGAUUGACGCUGAGGCACGAAAGCGUGGGGAUCAAACA